AACGUAGGGUGCAAGCGUUAUCCGGAUUCACUGGGCGUAAAGCGCGUGCAGGUGGUCUCGUAAGUUGGACGUGAAAUCUCUCGGCUUAACUGGGAGAGGCCGUUCAAUACUGCGGGGCUGGAGGGCAGGAGAGGGAGGUGGAAUUCCCGGUGUAGAGGUGAAAUCCGUAGAUAUCGGGAGGAACACCAGUGGCGAAGGCGGCCUCCUGGCCUGCUCCUGACACUCAUACGCGAAAGCUAGGGGAGCGAACGGG
rnacentral:rRNA from 1 species